GGCAAGGAGGUAAAAUUUUUUAAACGUAAAUCUACU
rnacentral:misc_RNA from 1 species